GGGGAUUUAGCUCAGUGGUAGAGCACUUGCCUAACAAGCGUGAAGCCCUGGGUUCGGUCCCCAGCCCCA
rnacentral:tRNA from 1 species